rnacentral:rRNA from 1 species
AUUGAACGCUGGCGGAAUGCUUUACACAUGCAAGUCGAACGGCAGCACGGACUUCGGUCUGGCGGCGAGUGGCGAACGGGUGAGUAAUGUAUCGGAACGUGCCCAGUCGUGGGGGAUAACGUAGUGAAAAUUACGCUAAUACCGCAUACGAUCUAUGGAUGAAAGCGGGGGAUCGCAAGACCUCGCGCGAUUGGAGCGGCCGAUAUCAGAGUAGGUAGUUGGUGGGGUAAAGGCCCACCAAGCCAACGAUCUGUAGCUGGUCUGAGAGGACGACCAGCCACACUGGAACUGAGACACGGUCCAGACUCCUACGGGAGGCAGCAGUGGGGAAUUUUGGACAAUGGGCGAAUGCCUGAUCCAGCCAUUCCGCGUGCAGGAUGAAGGCCCUCGGGUUGUAAACUGCUUUUGUACAGAACGAAAAGGUUUCUACUAAUACUAGGAGCUCAUGACGGUACUGUAAGAAUAAGCACCGGCUAACUACGUGCCAGCAGCCGCAGUAA